GUGGUUGUGGCUCAGUGGUAGAGUGCUUGCCUAGCAAACAUGUGGACCUCGGUUCAAUCCUCAGCACCACA
rnacentral:tRNA from 1 species